rnacentral:rRNA from 1 species
AUUGAACGCUGGCGGCAGGCCUAACACAUGCAAGUCGAACGAGCGGCGGACGGGUGAGUCAUGUAUGGGGAUCUGCCUGAUGGAGGGGGAUAACUACUGGAAACGGUAGCUAAUACCGCAUACCAUCAGAUGACCCCAUAUGGGAUUAGCUGGUUGGUAGGGUAACGGCGUACCAGGGCGACGAUCCCUAGCUGGUCUGAGAGGAUGAUAGGCCAAACUGGGACUGAGACACGGCCAAGAGUCCUACGGGAGGAAGCAGUGGGGAAUAUUGCACAAUGGGCGCAAGCCUGAUGCAGCCAUGCCGCGUGGAUGAAGAAGGCAUUCGGGUUGUAAAGUACUUUCAGUCGGGAGGCGUUACCUGCAGAAGAAGCACCGGCUAACUACGUGCCAGCAGCCGCGGUAAUUC